GAUGAAGAACGCAGCGAAAUGCGAUAAGUAGUGUGAAUUGCAGAAUUCAGUGAAUCAUCGAAUCUUUGAACGCACAUUGCGCCCCUUGGUAUUCCAUGGGGCAUGCCUGUUCGAGCGUCAUUUGUACCUUCAAGCUCUGCUUGGUGUUGGGUGUUUGUUCCGCCUCUGUGUGUGAACUCGCCUCAAAACAAUUGGCAGCCGGCGUACUUGUUUCGGAGCGCAGCACAUUUUGCGAUCCAGAUCAACGUACAGCGGCAUCCAAGAAGCCUUAUUUAACGCUCUUGACCUCGGAUCAGGUAGGGAUACCCGCUGAACUUAAGCAUAUCAAUAAGCGGAGGA
rnacentral:misc_RNA from 1 species